CUAAUAGGUUAGAAAUUUUGCAAAAUACAUUCAGCAAAACUUCACUUACUUGAAAUUCCUCUAACAUAAGAUUUUAAAAAAUACUGACAAAGGAGGUGCCAAAGCCCUAAAAAUGGGCGAUUUGGCUGACAACAGCGUAACGGCAGAUGUUUGGAGAUUCAUCCUGGAGCGACGAUUUUAGCUCUUAGGUUUUCCCUGGAUAGCCUACAAGUUAGGAGCUCCGACCAGUGACUGAAAGAGAAUACCAACAUGAAUCAAUCCUUCAGACCCUAGAGAAGAAAGUCAACAACAUGAAGGGAAAAGUCAGUAAAAUGGGUGAGAAAAACCAACAAUAUGGAUGAAAAAGUUCACCAUGAGGUUAAAGACUCCUUGUUCCCAAAGACCAAGCCUGUUUCCUGCUCUUCCUAUAUACGUCACGUUUGAAAAGCAAGAGGCACUGAGGUCGAGACAACCGAGCCCCGCCAAGUCUCCAAGAACUGACCAGAAGCCAGGACUGGUCUUUCCUCAAAGAAGAUUAGAGCAACUGAGUCACUUGAAAGGGACACUCUCCAACCUGGUGAGCUGACUACAGGCUGUGCAGUGUGUUCCAGGUUCCCAACUUGUGUGAGCUGUAACCCACGCUAGAGCGGGUUUUGGCGAUGUGGCUGUCUUUGGGUCAUUUCUGCUCCUGGAAAUAACACCUCACCCAUAUUCCUAUGAGAAACCUCAAUAAAACUCAUG